rnacentral:sRNA from 1 species
AUUGCAUUUUUCUGCAUAUCAGAAAAGUACAUUUUUUUGCCAAAACUGUAAAUGUAUUUUUUUGUACUGAAAGUGUCUGUGUAAACCCUAAUUUUUAAAGAAAUAAAGAAAAAAAUUCCCCAAAAAUUAAUUACCCCUAUUUUUAAGGCUUAUUGGACGAUCCAUAUCCAUAUGGAUUCGCCCAUUUGUUUGCGGUCUAAAAUGGGUUUUUAGCCCAUAAUGGUUGCUUUGAAUUUAAGCGUGACCAAACCCGGACCAUUAUAAUUUGGAUUUGUUUACCCCAUGGUCCUUAAAGCCCAUUUGACAUCCUUACAUAUUCUUCAUCUGUUGGAACCCAAUCAUAUUCGAGUCGCCCGUCAUCUGUCACCUCUUCCUCCAGUUUUCUCUUGAGGAAAGUAUCUGGUAUCGUUUCAACGAGUUGAGGCAGAUCAUCAAAUGGAUCGUCAAGAAUAUAUGUGUGCUGUAUUAUUAUGUUUU